AUUGAACGCUGGCGGCAGGCCUAACACAUGCAAGUCGAACGAGUGGCGGACGGGUGAGUAAUGUCUGGGAAACUGCCUGAGGGAGGGGGAUAACUAGUGGAAACGGUAGCUAAUACCGCAUACCAGCAGAUGUGCCCAGGUUGUAUUAGCUUGUUGGUGGGGUAACGGCUCACCACGGCAACGAUCCCUAGCUGGUCUGAGAGGAUGACCAGCCAUACUGGAACUGAGACACGGUCCAGACUCCUACGGAAGGCAGCAGUGGGGAAUAUUGCCCAAUGGGCGCAAGCCUGAUGCAGCCAUGCCGCUUGUAUGAAGAAGGCCUUCGGGUUGUAAAGUACUUUCAGCGGGGAGGCGUUACCCGCAGAAGAAGCACCGGCUAACUCCGUGCCAGCAGCCGCGGUAAUAC
rnacentral:rRNA from 1 species